rnacentral:rRNA from 1 species
GACGAACCAAGCGAACGUUGUUCGGAUUCACUGGGCUUAAAGGGCGCGUAGGCGGUCUGUCAAGUCCGGGGUGAAAUCUUUCGGCUCAACCGGAAAAUUGCCUCGGAUACUGGCAGGCUCGAAGGGGGUAGGGGUUGCGGGAACAGCCAGUGGAGCGGUGAAAUGCGUUGAUAUUGGCUGGAACGCCGGUGCCGAAAGGGCGCAACUGGACCUCUCUUGACGCUGAGGCGCGAAAGCCAGGGUAGCGAACGGG